rnacentral:lncRNA from 1 species
AUGGCUCCGUCGCCAUCCCUUAGCAACGACACCCACCCCCGCCACAGGCGAUUCCGCUCCUCGCCGGAGCAGCUCGCCGGCGCUUCCAUUGCCUCGCUAGCCUCCCCAACACUAGAAACCUUCCCCAUCCCAGAUCCCCUCCACAGCCUUCCUUCCACAACCCUAGCCUCCUGCCCCUCGCCCAAAUCCCCUUCCCCCACCUGUCCAGAUCUACCGAAUAGUGAGCAAAUCUCCAGCAAUGAAUCCUCUCCUGUAGCUCAGAUUUGCCAAUCUCCUCGAUUGGACUCAAGGUUCGUCACUCUCCGUACUCAGGAUCCAAGCAAAUCCUCUUCGCUCUCAGAUCUGCCUGCUGAGGUGCUGCCCGAAGCAAGUCGCCUUUACUCCGAGGUGCUUGCUACUCCUGCCCCCCUGCUUCCUAGCUCCAAGUCCCAGCACGAGCAGCUCCCUCUGAAAAUCCGUCCUCUUGCCGACUGCCUUAACUUCCCUGCUGAGCAGCUUGGUUCAUCUACCAUGAAGCAGCGCUUUAAUCUGGUCGAAGUGACAGAUCCAGCUGUGGUUUCCCAAGGAGCAGCAACCAAAGAUCUCCGUAUCCUUAAGAGUGGACGCAGAGUGCAAAUGUCAGCUCAAAUCCCUCCUGUUUCACAGCAGCUGAAAGUCCCUCCCACCAUGGAUGACCUUGCCAACCGCCCCUCUCAAGAAGCUGUAUUUCUUUCGGCCACAGGAGAGAUUGACCGUCUGAGGCAGAAGUUUUCUGCUCGCUCCAUAGUUGCUUGGCAAGUUGGGACUCAGGGUUCCAAGGUUGAUCCCAAUGUGUUUGCUGACGAUGUUCGUUCAGCAUUCCGGAUUAGGCGGUCGGAUAUCCAGAUUACAAAGUUUCACCCUAAAGAUUUUUUCAUCACAUGUGCCAGCCAGAGUGACAGGGAUGCCAUCCUGAGGCAGCCACGGCUUGCCACCAAGUCUGGGCGAGUCUAUCUCUUCCGCCCGUGGGAAGAAGGCUUGCAUGGUGUCCCGGCGUGUUUCAGAUUCAGAGCUCGAGUAUGCAUUGAGGGGCUCCCAAUGCAUGCCCGUACAGAUGAAGCAGUAGCCAAGAUCAUUGGAAGAAAGUGCUCCGUUCAUUAUGUUGAAGAGUAUUCCCACCGCAGGAACUACAACCGCACUUUUGACUUAUGGAUUUGGACUGACGCUCCAAAAUUCAUCCCGCGAUCUUCGAGCUUCUCUCUCACCAAUGCUGAUGAAGAAGGUCUGCCCAUAGACAUCCCCCUUCCGGACCUGGAACCGCACCACAAUCCGCCGCCAGAGGAGCCAAAGGAGGGGUGGACUUACAAUGUCCUGAUUCAUAUUGACACCCUGGAAGACCUUCACUGCAAGCUUGCCCGUGCGUACGACUAUCAGUACGGUGCUGAAGAUGAUGGUGUUCGCUUCCGGGAAUUCCUGCUUCCCUCCGUGUCGAUAGACAACAUAUCGGCUAGAAGAAUAGGAGGUGGGUGCAGGAUCACACAGAGCCCGAGAGCUAACUGUGCGGCGUGCAAUGGAGGUCGAGGGGAUAGUGAAGCUCCAACUGCUAUACGCAUCAAGGCGUGGGGUGCUAGGAGCAGCACUUUGACCUUGGGUUUGGUUUAUGCCGGGCUUUACAACCAACGGUCCGACAUUGAGGAUGUUACACCUGAUCCAAGAAAGGGCCCUGAUGAUGAUGAAGAAGACAGGGAGCAGCGCUCCCAGGGCCAGCAUAGGAGCCGCUCCCUCUGGAGCCGUGUUGGUGGACGAUCCUCCAGCCGGAGCAGGGAACCGGUUGGCAGUGAACGUCAG